rnacentral:lncRNA from 1 species
CUGAGAUCUCAUUUACGACUUUCUACAUAGUCAUAUUGAAAUAUGCCAUUUAGAAGUUUCUUAAAGUAUAAGAUAUUUUUAUAACAGUGCUAUAUUAAAGUUACUCAUUCAUAUGAGUUCUAUCACUAAUUCUGUGGAAUUUCAAGCAGGUCACAGAACCACCAUUUCCAAAUCUAAUAAAUAAGGACAUUUCUAAUAUCCUACUAGUCUUCUAGAAUGUUCCUAAGGUAAAAUAAGUACUUCAAAAAUUAUGAUCUGUAUAUAUUUAUAUAAUGCUUACAUUUCUUAAAAGUUAAAAAUAUAAACUUCCAGGAUUGAAGCCAAGAUGGAGGAGUAAACUCUGUAUCAUUAGGAGAAUCAUCUUUGACCAACCAAGAUUAAAAUAUCACCACAAAAUGAAUACAGGAGUGAAAGAACCAACAAUGAGAUAGAAUGAAACAACUUUCAAGAAAAGAAAAACCCAAAAGCCCUGAAGCAAAUGAUUGAGAAGGCUUGGCACAUCUAUACUUCCAGAUGACAAACUUUCUCGCCACAAUAUUGACUAGAGGUGGCCAUCCAGUAUCUAUUUGAAAACCUAUAGAAAGAAGAAAUCUUCCUCCAAGUGGAUUUACUGUGAGCAACAAAACGCUAUUGUUCCCCUUUUUGCACAAAUACAUUGCUUCCUCUUUCAGCCUUUCAUCUUUCCAUCAUAGACAUCUCAUCCUCUGUUCCUUAUCAAAGGCUGCUGCUACUUCUUCUAUUGAUGCUGUUAUGUUGGUUUACAACUACAGCUCCUGCUGCUACUACAGUUCCCACUACUUCCAACUAUGAGAGAAGCAGAAGGGGAAGAAGAAAAGGAAAUCUGGAAAGGUGUAAAAGUAAAAUGAGGAGAAGGAAGGAUCCGAAGAAAAGUAAAAGUCAAUAUUGAAAUAAUGCUAGAAGUUUUAUUUCCUUUACUUAUAUUUUAUUAUUUCAUUCCACUUAUUUUACCUUAUUUGAUCUUGACAACAAACCUUUGGGGGAAGAGAAGUAUUGCAAAGAGUUUGCUUAAUAAAGAGGAGAGUGCCCCAGAAGUAAUAUCAAAGUUGAACAAAAAAUAAAUAAACAAUUGCUCCUAAAGUUAAUGAGCUAAAAGACCACAGAUUGUAUAUUCUAG